UACUACUACUACUACUGCUACUACUGUUUUGUCUAAAAAGUAUAGAAUCUGUCUGCUAUUGGCCAGUUCUUUGAAUCUCACAUUUUUAAGAACUCCUGUAUAUAUAAAAUUUUGUUUUUCUUCUGUUAACCUAUGUCAAUUUAAUUAUUAGUCUAGCCAAGAAGGGAAAAGUUUCCUCUCACCCCUAAACUAAUUCAUUAUUGUAUAGUUUUCUUGAUUGUGUCUCUCAGAAUUUUGACUUAUGUACUCUUGAAGGCUAGAAACAUUUAAAAAAUAGCUAUCCUUUAACUGCCAGAAAUUUGUAUAUUUUUCACUCAGUGAAAAUUACAAAUUUGUAGGAAACAUUCUUCUUUUGUUCUGGGAGAAACAAUUUUGUUUUCAGUUUUAGAAAGAAGAGGUCGUUUCUCGAUUUGAACUAAUCAUCAUGUGUUUUAAAAGCCUAUCUUUAACAUGCAGGUCUAGACUGAUUAGAAGCACCUAAUGAGGUUUUUUUAUUCAAUUAGCCAAGGUAUAGUACAUCAUAAUUUUUGAUAUAAUGUUCAGUGAUUCGUUAGUUGAAUAUAUCACACAGCACUUAUCAUAUCACAUGCCCUCUUUAAUGCCCAUCACCCAGUUACCCCAUCUCCCUAUGCCCCUCUCUUUCUGCAACCCUCAGUUUGUUUCCCAGAGUCAAGACAAUCAGAGAGACACAAUUAUAUUAGAAUAUAAUUAGAAUAUAAGGACUAGUGCAGAGAACAAGAGGGGUGCAGGGGAAAACUGAAUAGGAAGAAAUCAGAGAGGGAGACAAAUCAGACGAUACUCUUGACUCCAGGAAAAGAGUUUGGUUCUAAAUGUAAAUAACUCAGUAGUCAUAUUUGAACCUGAGCGAACAAAACAGGAAGUACUUCCCUUCAUCAGCCAUUCCUGGAUUGGUAUGGAACAGACUGGAAAGACUUGAUAUGCCCUGUAUCCUGAGAGUGGGCAGACUGGGAUAGCGUGGGGAAAGGGACUAAAGGAUCAUAAAAGGGUAAUCAUUUAUGGGAAAGCACAUGGGUUUCUUUCCUCAAAUUUGAAACUAGAGAUUCAUCAGAUUCAGGUACUCAGAUAAAUAUCUCUCUAUUUUGUGUUAAUCAAUAAAAACAAAACGAUGAACAAUGAGGUGACUAUUUGGGGGCAUACUAAUGAAGACCAGUCUUCUGCCAGUGUCCCCCUUUGCUGUCUUCUCCUUUGAUAGCCACCCUCUGCCACCACUAUCUUGGGAAUAUCUGGACUUUGAUGAAGCUGUCCAAAGGCAAAUAGAUCAGAUUAGUAUGUCAUAAUAAUAAUAUUGCGUAAUAUCUAGAAGUUGGUUCCCUGGUGGUGGUGUGGGAGACAUGGUGGACAGGGGAAGGAAGCAGAUAUUUUUCAUAAGAUGGCAUGAGGCAAAGGGAGAGAGAAAGACAUAUUUUGGAGGUACCGAGUUGAGAGAGAAGAGCAGAUGGGAAAAAAGGCUCCAAGAAAAGGAUAGGGUUGCUGGGGGCCUGCUUUUUUCUCCAUUAAACAGUUCCGUGUUGAGGUUAUUUCUGAAGACAAGAAGUGACACUGGAUGACUUAGCCUUUGGUGUCCUUGCUUAUCCAUAAGCUUGUCCUAUGUGUUGUGUGGCCUUCAGAGCACGUGCUCCACCACUGGCUGCUUCUGGGAAACUACAUGGCCGUCCACCUGCUCACGUACCAGCUCAUGUGUGUAUGAUUAUUCUGCAAUGCCCUCUCUGAGUGUUGUGGUUUUGUGACAAAAGGAUCAGCCUGAAUUCACCUCCAGAUGCAAAUAUUCAGUCCUCGCUCCGACAUCCUAUGCAAUUUAAUUUUCUUCUCUAUCACCAACCAAAAAUUCUGAAACCAAUAGAGGAAAUAACCCAAGGGAUUACUUUGCAGGCCAAGCCCACUAUGCUGCCGGGCUCCACCACUCCUGAAGACAUUCUUUUUUAUGACUUUUAUUCCAAAUGAUAAACAGAUUUCUGGCUACAUACAUGGCUCUGUUACUGUUGUCUUCUCUCCCCUCUUGGCCAAUGAAUAAGGCCACUUCUCAGUGGUGUUUUAGGGGUGUUGUGUUGUAAGCACUGGAUUAUGGAGCAUAGUUCCUUUCCCCAUUCACAGUAUUUGUUACUAAACUCAGGUGAGCCAGGGUAGGAAGCACCAGGAAUCUGUUUUCCCACCCAGACAAAGGUUACAUUGGCAGAAAAAGGUAACCGACAGAAUAGGAGAACAUAUGUGCAAAUCAUAUCCGCUAAGAGGUCAAUAUCCAGAAUAUACAGGGAACUACAAAAACUCAACAUUAAAAGAAUAAGCAACAUGAUUUAAAAAUGGACAAAGAACUUGAAUACAUUUCUCCAAAGAAGAGAUAUAAAUGGCCAAUAAGCCCAGGAAAAGAUGUUCCACAUCGCUGAUCCUUACGGAAAGGCACAUUGAAACUAGUGCUUCACGCCCAUUAGGUUGGCUAUAAUCAAAGAAAGAGAAAAUAGCAAGUGUUGGUGAGUAUCUGAAGAAAUUAAAACCCUUUGUGUUGUUGGUGGGAUUGUGAAAUGGUAUAGUCACCAUGGAAAAUAAAAGGGCAGUUUCUCAAAGAAUUAAGCAUAGAAUUACAUAUGAUCUAGCACAGCCUCAUCUGGGUACAUACCCCAAAGAACUGAAAACAGGGUUUUGAAGAGAUUCUUGGACACCCAUGUUCGUAUAAGUAUUAUUCAAAGUAGCUAAAAUGUGGAAGCAACUCCAGUGUCCAUCAACCUAAGAAAGGAUAAGGAGAAUGUGGUGUAUGCAUACAAUGGAGUAUCAUGCAACCUUAAAAAGGAAGAAAAUUCUGAAUAUGCACAACACGGAUGAAUCCUGAGGACGGGAAGUAUUAUGGCAACUUUCAGGGGCUGGGAUGGGGAGUUAGUGUUUAAUGGGCCAGAGUUUCAGUUUUACAAGAUGGAUGACAAGGGUGGACAGCACGAGGGCUGCACGAUAUAAAAGUAGCUCAAGCCCCUGAGCUGUACACUCAAAAGUGACAAAUUCUAUUUUAUGUGUAUUUUACCAAAAGAAAACACUGUGGAAAAAGAAACAGUAGGAGCAGACUUAGAACCUGCUGCUGCAUGGAAAUUUGGGGCAGAAUGGAAUUUAUCUACUGCCUCUAGACGUUACACGAAAACCAGAGCCAGAACCGAGUAAAGGCAGGCUAAGGGAGCAGUUGCAAAAGGCUUUAAGAUGACCUCGGCAACGACCUCCAGGCAGGAGGGUCGGAGGGGCGCUGCCCAGGAAGAGGACCUACAGCAUCCUCUUCCACAGCGAGAGACCCGAAAACUCUAGAGAGGAAAGCAGCUUCUGUAGAAUAAAUCGUGGAGUUUGGACCUCUGGAUCCAGCACAGGUGUGAAUCGGAGCCUCGAGGUGAGUGGGCUCUUGUGACAAGCUUCAACUACGUUGGUGAUCAAAAAUGUUUCUGAGUCACCAGAGAGAUGAAGCCGGUGUCACAGCAGGGACGCCGCUGUCCCCGGUAGCCUGAGCAGGGCAGGCGACCGUCACUGCGCCGCGACAACGCAAGAGUGGCUUCCCUGGGGACAGGUGGGCACAGACCCGAUUACAGGCCGACAACACAACACGGAGCCGCUCCAGCAGUGGUGACUGGUUGGACUCUCAGAAGAGGGCGGCAGCAGGAUUCCAUGUCGGUUAGACUCUUCAGGGACGUUGCCACAGCACAGGGAAAGUGAGUUUCCAUGUCUCCUUGCUUCGCCCCUGGGUGGACCUUUGCCACUGCCUCAACCGAGAGAGUUCGGCAGAAGGGAUGCUCUGCGACCUCCGAAGCCAGGUCAUUGAGAUGCUGUGCAUUUCCAUGUUGCUUCCCCCGGACCAUCCACAACCAUCUGUGAGGCCGACCAAGCAGCUUUGUCGCUAAUACGGACUGCAGUCCAAGGCCCCAGCCUGGGAUGAACCACUAACCAAGGGGCAGCAGCAGGUGGCCGUGAGGGUGCCAUCCCGAAGGCUCUCCUCCAGCCCGAGGUGAGCCGCCCGGUUCCACACAGCAUGAACAAAGAUGGGGGAUUCCGCCUGAAUUGUUGACCUUUGAGUAGAAGAAAUGACUGUAGCCACGAAGCAGCCACAGCAGAAUUUCACCCCCAUCCUGCACCUUUGGAGGUGUGGUUCCUGGACUGGGAAGUUGAGGUAGAACCAAACUGCUCUGCACAGGAAAGGCCUGUGGACCGGCCCCAUGUCCACUGCAGCGUUAUUUGCAUGGCUGACAUGGAAACGGUCUAAGUGUCCAUCGAAGGACGGAUGGAAUCUGUAGUAAACUCCACAUCGCUCAGCCAGUAUUCCUCGUCGAGUGGAGUUAUUUUAGCCUUGAGCGGGGCUGUAAGGAGUGUCGAAGGUCAUCCUGGCUCCCAAAAGGAGGCCCAAGUGCCUGCUAGGUAUCAAGCAUUGUUGCUAUGUGGUUGAGGGAAACAAUGGAGCGCUCCGUAGAUCGCCUGAGUCGACUUCUGUUGUCAAAUGUCAGUGGAUCAUCCACCAUGUCAAGGUAAGGGUCUCCAAAAGGCAGAGAACACAAACAGUCUUUUUCAUGGACUGUACCAGCACUGUCACAUCUUCCUUCCCUCAGGGCUACUUAGGCAUCAAAUUCUGAGCCAAGUUGUUAAUAUAGGACUUUUAACAAAUGUCACUGCUUGAAAAGAGAGACAACAGCCAAUUCUCUGGAGGUAGAAUAAGGAGGAAAAGGAAUAAUAAGAAAACUCCCUAUCAUGACUCUGCCUGAAACUGAUGCAUGUUAGUCAUUUCAGGAAGCCAUUGAAACAAUCAGAAGACAAAUGCUAGGAUACAAAAAUGCAACAUGAGACGAACCAAUAUGUUCGUGAAGAAGACAUCAUUUUGUGGGGUAUGUGGCAAAGAAGUAACUAGGAAAGAGAGAGAUUGGGCCAGUGACAACUUACACUCUUGAAUGUUCCCCCUUGAUCAAACACGCACAAAGACCUCUGGGCGGGAAAGGACUGUACAGAUAAUAGUCAUUCCUGGGGAAAACUAAGCUUUGAUUGCAAAUUCCAUGCGGACUGGCAAUAAGAGAUCAAAAGAUAGGACACGUAAACUAUUACGCACCUGUUUGAGAGAAAUAGCUGCUCAGAAGAUGAAAAAUGUGACUAGGGGAGCUAGGAAGCAGGGAAAUGAGCAGCUACCCAACUCUGACAACACUGCCACCGAAACAUCCGUAACUUCUCAUAGUGGGAAGUGGCUUUGGGAAUUUUGGAUAACUGGGUGAAAUAUCCAUGCUGAAUUUAUAGAAACUAAAGUAGCUUCCCAUAGCUUUGGAGGAGGGAUUCUUAUAUUCUGGUGUUGCCAAGAACACAGAAGUAGGCACAUCACACAGUCAUACUUAGUAUAUCAGCUCAUCGGUUAGUGUGGUAGCGGCACACCUAGGAACUAGACUUGGGGAAAUGAAUGGUAACACGUACACCUCAGCUACCUCCAAUCAUGGUCUGGUGAAGAUAUGCAGCGUGGCCUGGGACCUGUUCGCGGGUACGGCACACGGCAGACAACCCCACAAGCCUCGGGACUCUCUCCUCUCCUUCCAGGUUUCCCGCUCUCAACCUAUGCAUGCUGACUACCGCCUGCUGGUGUCGGCUGGCAAUGAAAAAUCCUUUGUCCUCCAUUUUGUAAGCGAUGUUUCGUGUAUUUGUGAGAGAGGACCAAGGAAGUAAAGGGUGUUAUUGAGCGUUUGUUUUGAUACAACUAAAUCAAAGAAUUUCCAACAACUUACCAAGC